CUUUGCCCCCUUUGCCGUUGCGAGGACGAGACAACGCACCACCUCCUCUUCACUUGCCGCUACUCCAUUCACAUUUGGGGAAUGAUUAAGGAUUGGCUCGGUAUCGAUGACUUCAACCCUUCAGAGUGGGCAACUUUCAGUGAUGUUCAAUCUUGGUGGGAGCAUCUUUCCCUCGCCCAUGGGAGUAGGAGGAAGGCCAUGUCGUCGCUUAUCAUGCUCGUGUCAAUGGCAAUUUGGAACGAAUGCAACGUGAGGGUUUUCAAGCAAACUAGUGCCCUCCCUUUGAUAAUAUUCGCUCGCAUCAAGUUGGAGGCCAAAAUUUUUCUCGAGAGGUUUUUGGUCCGUUCGCACGUAUAA
rnacentral:rRNA from 1 species